rnacentral:rRNA from 1 species
GCCGGCUUCUGUGGUGUGUACAGCAGCCGCGCUGAGCGGAGGUGGUAUCUUACGUCUGAGGAGAAAGCCCGGGCUCACUGUGGAGGGGCAUUGGAUACUGGGAGACUUGAGUGCAGAAGAGGAAAGUGGAAUUCCAUGUGUAGCGGUGAAAUGCGUAGAGAUAUGGAGGAACACCAGUGGCGAAGGCGACUUUCUGGUCUGUAACUGACACUGAGGCGCGAAAGCGUGGGGAGCAAACAGGAUUAGAUACCCUGGUAGUCCACGCCGUAAACGAUGAGUGCUAAGUGUUAGAGGGUUUCCGCCCUUUAGUGCUGAAGUUAACGCAUUAAGCACUCCGCCUGGGGAGUACGGCCGCAAGGAUGAAACUCAAAAGAGUUGACGGCCCCCCGCACAAGCGGAGGAUCAUGUGUUUUUCUUCGAAGCGCCGCGAACAUCCUUACCGCGUCUUGACAUCCUCUGACGACCCUAGAUAUACGUCUUCUCCUUCGAGAGCAGAGUGACAGGUGGUGCAUGGUUGUCUCCAGCUCGUGUCGUGAGAUGUUGGGUUUAGUCCCGCAACGAGCGCAACCGUUGAUCUUAGUUGCCACCAUUCAGUUGCUCACUCUAAAGUGACUGCGGAUGACAAACCGGAGGAAGGUGGGGAUGACAUCAAAUCAUCAUGCUACUUAUGACCUGGGCUACACACGUGCUAGUAUGGUACAGUACAAAGAGUCUCCAAGACCGCGAGGCGAUCUAAUCUCAUAGAUCUGUUCUCAGAUCGGAGUCGUACGCUGCAACUCGCGACGUGAAACUCGCAAUCGAUCGUAUCGCAGAUCAGCAUCGCCGAGUCAUCCCUGCUCCCUCUGGAUCAUAA